rnacentral:rRNA from 1 species
UACGUAGGGUGCGAGCUUUAAUCGGAAUUACUGGGCGUAAAGCGUGCGCAGGCGGUUCGCUAAGACCGAUGUGAAAUCCCCGGGCUUAACCUGGGAACUGCAUUGGUGACUGGCGGGCUAGAGUAUGGCAGAGGGGGGUAGAAUUCCACGUGUAGCAGUGAAAUGCGUAGAGAUGUGGAGGAAUACCGAUGGCGAAGGCAGCCCCCUGGGCCAAUACUGACGCUCAUGCACGAAAGCGUGGGGAGCAAAAGGG